rnacentral:rRNA from 1 species
GAUGAACGCUAGCUACAGGCUUAACACAUGCAAGUCGAGGGGCAGCAUUACGGUAGCUUGCUACUGUAGAUGGCGACCGGCGCACGGGUGAGUAACGCGUAUCCAACCUGCCCAUGACUUGGGGAUAACCUUGCGAAAGCAAGCCUAAUACCCGAUACGCUUCAUAGACGGCAUCUGAAAUGAAGUAAAGGUUUACGGUUAUGGAUGGGGAUGCGUCCGAUUAGCUUGUUGGCGGGGUAACGGCCCACCAAGGCAUCGAUCGGUAGGGGUUCUGAGAGGAAGGUCCCCCCACAUUGGAACUGAGACACGGUCCAAAACUCCUACGGGAGGCAGCAGUGAGGAAUAUUGGUCAAUGGGCGAGAGGCCUGAACCAGCCAAGUAGCGUGCAGGACGACGGCCCUAUGGGUUGUAAACUGCUUUUAUACGGGAAUAAAGUGAGAGUCGUGACUCUUUUUGCAUGUACCUAUGAUAAGGACCGGCUAAUUCCGUG